rnacentral:rRNA from 1 species
UACGUAGGGUGCGAGCGUUAAUCGGAAUUACUGGGCGUAAAGCGUGCGCAGGCGGUUCGAUAAGUCCGAUGUGAAAGCCCCGGGCUCAACCUGGGAAUGGCAUUGGAAACUGGCGGGCUGGAGUGUGGCAGAGGGGGGUGGAAUUCCGCGUGUAGCAGUGAAAUGCGUAGAGAUGCGGAGGAACACCGAUGGCGAAGGCAGCCCCCUGGGCUGACACUGACGCUCAGGCACGAAAGCGUGGGGAGCAAACAGG